rnacentral:rRNA from 1 species
ACUCAAAGGAAUAGACGGGGGCCCGCACAAGCGGUGGAGCAUGUGGAUUAAUACGUCAUUAACCGUAGAACCUUACCCAGGCUUGACAUCCACGGAACUCACCCGAAAAGGUGGGGUGCUACGCAAGUAGAGCCGUGAGACAGGUGUUGCAUGGCUGUCGUCAGCUCGUGUCGUGAGAUGUUGGGUUAAGUCCCGCAACGAGCGCAACCCUCACUGCCUGUUGCCAGCAUUCAGUUGGGCACUCUGGCGGAACUGCCCGGGUAACCGGGAGGAAGGUGGGGACGACGUCAAGUCAGCAUGGCCCGUACGCCUGGGGCUUCACACAUGCUACAAUGGCCGGUACAAAGGGUCCCGAAGCCGCGAGGUGGAGGCAAUCCCAAAAAGCCGGUCUCAGUUCGGAUCGCAGGCUGCAACUCGCCUGCGUGAAGGUGGAAUCGCUAGUAACCGCCGGUCAGCUAAACGGCGGUGAAUACGUUCCCGGGCCUUGUACACACCGCCCGU